CCCAUCAAGUGGAAGAAGUUAACUGCUUGCUGACCACAAGCACAUAGACCCCAGCCAGCUUGGAACCAGAAGGUUGAUGAUGUUGACUCCCCAGUUACCUCACCACCAACCAGUCAGAAGAAUGUUCAUGAGCUGAUUAUGUGCCCACAACCCCUCUCCUUUAUCUUGGAAGCCGUUGGGGAGUUUGGGUGUUUUGAGCACUAGCUGCCUGGACUCCUUGCUUGGUGCCUGCAAUAAACACUGCACUUUCACCAAGACCCACUGUGAGUAGAUCUUACUGCAUGUGGGUAAGCAGACCCAAGUUUGAUUUGGUAAUAGAAGAAGCAGUAGACUCCUGCUUUUAAUGAAAUACUUUAAAAUUAUCUUCUUUCUUCAUCAAGAAAUCUUUCUCAGCCCCUUCUGAGAUUCUUGCUUAUCCUUGGUGUAGUUUUCAACUGGGAAUAUCAGAUAAAAUAGAUGUACAGUCUACUUGGGAGUAUGCAAAGACAGAGGCUUCCUUUCUUUGUAUGAGGAGUUCCAGGCAUUGUGCGGAUGGCCAAACAGAACUGAAUAUCUGAAACAAUCGUUUUUAUUUUUAAUAUUUAUUUAUUUAUUUGGCUGCAUUGGGUUUUAGUUGCAGCACUAAAGAUAAGCAGGAUCGCUGAUCUUUAUGGCGGCAUGAGAACUCUUAGCUGCAGCAUGUUGUAUCUAGUUCCCCAACCAGAGAUCGAACACCAACCCCCUGCGCUGGGAGUGGAGUCUUAGCCACUGGACCACCAGGGAAGUCCUUGACUCAGUCAUUUUUAAACUUUGCUGUUGUUGUUUAGUUGCUCAGUCAUGUCCAACACUUUUGCGAACCCCUGGACUGUAGGCUUCCAGGCUCCCCUGUCCAUGGAGUUUCCCAGGCAAGAACACUGGAAUGGGUUGCCAUUUCCCUCCCCAGGGGAUCUUCCUGACCCAGGGAUCGAACCCACGUCUCCUGCAUUGGCAGGAAAAGGAAAGGCUUCAACUCUUCUCCGAAGGUUACGCCAGUUAGGUUGGAAAGCCUGCUAGCUGAUUUCUUUAAACUCCUCCUCAUUUUUAGGUUUACAUACUACUGGCAAAGACUCACUAUGUUUGAGCCUCAUAACUGGAGGAUAAGGCGACCAAAAAGCAUGCUGCAAAAACAUUUUUACAUUCGCUACCGGGAUUCCCUCAUCCUCACCAGCCUGGGAUUCGUGACUUUGGCUCUGGGAAUUGCUAUCACAAUCGGAGCUUUUAACAACGUGGUUGUCCUCCUUGGGAUGACGCUUGAUUUUCUGGGUGUCCUUCUUGGUAUUUUGGGGGGUAUAAACAUGUACACCACCUACUCGUGCUUCCAGAGCUCCUUAGAAGCACGAGGGGCAGCUGAGAACAUUCACCUCAUGUGGUGUCAGGUUCUACAUCAAGAGCCUGAACUCUUGGCCAGCAUCUGCUUAUAACCUCAUAUUUAAUCUGAAUAUCUCUAGGACUCCAAUUUUGUUUUAUGCAGCAUUUUCAAACUUGAAAUAAAAUUCUGAAAGCUACUGUGAAAGAGAUUUUCAAUGUCCCUUUUUUUUUUUCUCUUAACUUGGCCACACCAACGCACUGGAUUUGCUAUAGAAGUUCAUGACUGUUGACUUCUGAUCUCUGGUGAAAGAAGGGAAUGUUGGAGUACAGGUGAUGACGCUGAACCUUGCCAUAUAGAAGAGAUACCUACACGGACUUCUCUUGUAGAAUCCAGUCUUUCCACUCAUCCACAGAGACUUGUGAAAUCUGUUUUGGGCCCCUGAAUCUCGGCCUCAAACUGCCCAGUUCUCCAGAGAUAGACCUGGAGUUUGUACUAUGAUCUGUUAGGCUCCAGCCUCAGUUCUCAUGUGGAUCCAAUGAUUUGGAAUGGAAAUAUAGUGCCAGUAACCCAUGUUCCUGUCUGAGCUACCAGGGAAGCUUAAGAGGUGGGUGCUAGUUGUAAAGAGCCCGCCUGCCAAUGCGGGAGACAUAGAAGACGUGGGUUCAAUCCCUGGGUGGGGAACAGCAACCCACUCCAGUACUCUUGCCUGGAGAAUCCCAUGGACAGAGAAGCCUGGUGGGCUACAGUCCAGGGGAUCACAAAGAGUUGGACAAGACCAAACCGACUUAGCAUACAACCCAUGUUCCCAGCAUAGCUGUCAGCCAACACCAAUUGUCUUAUUGACUUCUCUCCUUAGUGCUUCAUUCAUAGCUGACUUCAUUCACAGUAUGGCACAUGGGUCCCUGGUUCCCUGACCAGGGAUCGAACUUGCACUCCCUGCACUGGAACCUCAGAGACUUAAUCACCAAACCGCCAGGGAAGUCCCCCCUCUUCCUUUGAACUGGUAUUUCCUCCUAUUGAAACGCUCAUUCUUCAAAACUCGUGCCGUCUCGUGAUAGCACGCCUCCUCCGCCUGGGACUGUCCUCUUAAGGUCCGACACACCGUGUGGCACCUUAUUCCUCAUCCCCCAUCAGCCAUUGACAGCUUCUCCUGUCCUACUGUUUUGCUCUCAUGACUAUUAUUCUUGAGGACAGGGAUGGCCCAUCAGCACAAAAACUGCUUGGUUCUUGUUGGAAUUUAAAAAAAUAACUUUGAUUGCAGGGACUUCCCUGGUGGUCCAGUGGUUAAGAAUCCAUCCUACAGGGGGUGUGGAUUUGAUCGCUGGUUGGGGAACUAAGAUCUCACAUGCCUCUUGGCCAAAAAAACUAAAACAUAAACAACAGAAGCCAUGGUGUAAGAAACUCGAUAAAGACUUUACAAGGGACUUCCCUGGUGAUCCAGGGGUUAGGACUCCUUGCUCCCAAUGUGGGGGGCCUGGGUUUGAUCCCUGGUUAGGAAACUAGGUCCCAUAUGCCACAACCAAGACCCAACAAAGCCAAAUAAAUUACUAUUUUUUUCUAAAAAGACUUCAUAGAUGGUCCACAUUAAAAAAAAUUCUUUUUUUCAUUGUUUAACACAUUUUAUUGAAGUAUAGUUGAUUUAUAAUGUUAAUUUCUAUUCUACAGCAAAGUGACUCAGUUAUACACAUAUAUUCUUUCCCAUUAUAGUUAUCACAGGACUUUUUGAACUUUUUAUUUUAUAUUGGAGUAUAGCUGAUUAACAAAUGUUAUAAGUUUCAGGUGGACAGCAAAGGAAUUCAGCCAUACAUAUAUAUGUAUCCAUUCUCCCCCCAAUUCCCCUCCCAUCCAGGCUGUCACAUAACACUGGGCAGAGUUCCCUGUGCUACACAGUAGGACCUUGUUGGUUAUCCAUUUUAAAUAUAGCAGCAUGUACAUGUCAAUCCCAACUCCCUAUCUGUUCCACCCAUCUUCCCCCUUCCCUCCCCAGCAACCGUAAGUUCCUUCUCUGAGUCUGUGCCUGUUUUGUAAGUAAGUUCAUUUGUAUCAUUUCAUUUUAGAUUCCACACAUAAGCAGUGUCAUAAAAUAUUUCUCCUACUCUUUCUGACUUACUUCGGUCCAUAUGACAAUUUCUAAGCCCAUCUAUGUUGCUGCAAUUGACAUUAUUUCAUUUUUUUAAUAGCUGAGUAAUAUUCUGUUGUAUAUAUGUACCAUAUCUUCUUUACACUCCUAUGUCAAUGGCCAUUUAGGUUUCUUCUAUGUCUUGGUUAUUGUAAACAGCACUGCAAUGAACACUGGGGUGCAUGCAUCUGCAUCCUUUUGGAUCAUGUUUUUCUCCAGAUAUAUGCCCAGGAGUGGGAUUGCAGGAUCAUAUAGUAGCUCUAUUUUUAGUUUUUUAAGGAAUCUCCAUACUGUUCUCCAUAGUGUCAGCACUAAUUU
ensembl:lncRNA